GACGAACGCUGGCGGCGUGCUUAACACAUGCAAGUCGAACGGUGAAGGGGUCUGCUUUUGUGGACCCUGGAUGAGUGGCGAACGGGUGAGUAACACGUGAGUAACCUGCCCCCUUCUUCUGGAUAAUCGCAUGAAAGUGUGGCUAAUACGGGAUAUUCUGGGUCUGUCGCAUGAUGGGUCUGGGAAAGAUUGCGCCUUUGGGUGUUUUUGGUGGGGGAUGGGCUCGCGGCCUAUCAGCUUGUUGGUGGGGUGAUGGCCUACCAAGGCGGUGACGGGUAGCCGGCCUGAGAGGGUGGACGGUCACACUGGGACUGAGACAAGGCCCAGACUGCUACGGGAGGCAGCAGUGGGGAAUAUUGCACAAUGGGCGCAAGCCUGAUGCAGCGACGCCGCGUGAGGGAUGGAGGCCUUCGGGUUGUAAACCUCUUUCGCCAGUGAAGCAGGCCUGCUCCUUGUGGGUGGGUUGACGGUAGCUGGAUAAGAAGCGCCGGCUAACUACGUG
rnacentral:rRNA from 1 species